UCUGUGUGUGUUUGUCUGUGUGUCUCUGCGUGUGCGUGUGUGUGUGUUUUCAGGUGACAGUGUGACCUCUGACCUCUGCUUGUUUCCAGGGAAACGUGUACGUUAAGUGUCCGUCGAUCCCCGCCGCCAUGGCAGCCGUCAACGCUCUGCACGGACGCUUCUUCGCAGGGAAGAUGAUAACGGCGGCGUUCGUCCCUCUGCCGGCCUAUCACCACCUGUUCCCAGAGUCUGUCACAGCCAAUCAGCUGCUGGCCCCUCCCGUGAGGCGGUGACUGGCCAAUCAGCUGCUGGCCCCGCCCGCGUGGCGCUGAAGGCCUCCGAUUGGACACUGGACCCUUUUAUACCCUGCUCUCCUAUUGGUCGACACAGAGGAGCCGGUCUGAGGGCCACUGCCGCCGCGUGGUUUCCUCUUCCUGUUUACUUCCUGUUUCCUUUCGCUGUUUCUCAUUAGCAUAUCUGAGUAUCGACCAAUGAUUGAGCUCCGUGAGCUGCGAGGACGCCGGCUGAUUGGCUGGUUGAAGCCGUUUGGUAUUUAAGUGUUUUGUAAUCAAGAAUUUGGUUUUGUAAAAGCAUUUAUUAAAUUUUAUUUUGAAGUCA